rnacentral:lncRNA from 1 species
CCGCCUCUCGUUCUGCCAAAGAAUCGACAGACCCACUUUGAAUGGACUUCUCCAAUAAACUUUACCUUCCAGCUCGAGAACGGUACAAAUCGGAUUAGACUGCAAAGAUGGUUGUCCGAUCAUACUACCCGACCAACCACGCCAACAGCCUGACCCACUUUUAUAUGAAGAAUGUGAUCAACGAUCGCACCCUCCUUGCUGAAGCCCAACCGACAACCAGAGCUAGAGGCAGGCUUCAGAUUUUCAUCCGCC